rnacentral:rRNA from 1 species
CUGAGCGGCGGACGGGUGAGUAACGCGUGGGUAACCUGCCUCAUACAGGGGGAUAACAGUUAGAAAUGACUGCUAAUACCGCAUAAGCCCACGACCCGGCAUCGGGUAGAGGGAAAAGGAGCAAUCCGCUUUGAGAUGGCCUCGCGUCCGAUUAGCUAGUUGGUGAGGUAACGGCCCACCAAGGCGACGAUUGGUAGCCGGACUGAGAGGUUGAACGGCCACAUUGGGACUGAGACACGGCCCAGACUCCUACGGGAGGCAGCAGUGGGGGAUAUUGCACAAUGGGGGAAACCCUGAUGCAGCGACGCCGCGUGGAGGAAGAAGGUUUUCGGAUUGUAAACUCCUGUCGUUAGGGACGAUAAUGACGGUACCUAACAAGAAAGCACCGGCUAACUACGUGCCAGCAGCCGCGGUAAAACGUAGGGUGCAAGCGUUGUCCGGAAUUACUGGGUGUAAAGGGAGCGCAGGCGGACCGGCAAGUUGGAAGUGAAAACUAUGGGCUCAACCCAUAAAUUGCUUUCAAAACUGCUGGCCUUGAGUAGUGCAGAGGUAGGUGGAAUUCCCGGUGUAGCGGUGGAAUGCGUAGAUAUCGGGAGGACACCAGUGGCGAAGGCGACCU